rnacentral:rRNA from 1 species
GGAUUAGAUACCCUGGUAGUCCACGCAGUAAACGGUGAACACUAGGUGUAGCGGGUAUUGACCCCUGCUGUGCCGGAGCUAACGCAUUAAGUGUUCCGCCUGGGAAGUACGGCCGCAAGGUUAAAACUCAAAGGAAUUGACGGGGGCCCGCACAAGCGGUGGAGCAUGUGGUUUAAUUCGACGCAACGCGAAGAACCUUACCUGGGUUUGACAUCCCGAGAAGUCUUUUGAAAAAUAGAUGUGCCCCUCGGGGAAUUCGGUGACAGGUGCUGCAUGGCUGUCGUCAGCUCGUGUUG